rnacentral:rRNA from 1 species
CAGCCGCCACGGUAAAACGAAGGGGGCUAGCGUUGUUCGGAAUUACUGGGCGUAAAGCGCACGUAGGCGGCUUGGUAAGUUAGAGGUGAAAGCCUGGAGCUCAACUCCAGAAUUGCCUUUAAGACUGCCGAGCUAGCAGGUGAGAGAGGUAAGUGGAAUUCCGAGUGUAGAGGUGAAAUUCGUAGAUAUUCGGAAGAACACCAGUGGCGAAGGCGGCUUACUGGCUCAUACUGGACGCUGAGGUGCGAAAGCGUGGGGAGCAAACAGGAUUAGAUACCCCGGUAGUCCCUGUCUCUUAUAC